UACGUAUGGUGCAAGCGUUAUCCGGAUUUACUGGGUGUAAAGGGUGCGUAGGUGGCGUGGCAAGUCAGAAGUGAAAACUCCGGGCUCAACCCGGAGACUGCUUUUGAAACUGCCGUGCUCGAGUGCAGGAGAGGAAAGCGGAAUUCCUAGUGUAGCGGUGAAAUGCGUAGAUAUUAGGAGGAACACCAGUGGCGAAGGCGGCUUUCUGGACUGUUACUGACACUGAUGCACGAAAGCGUGGGGAG
rnacentral:rRNA from 1 species